rnacentral:lncRNA from 1 species
UGGUGAACAAGUAUAUAAUGGGGUGUUCGUGUGCAUUAGUUUUGGAGUGCUGGUGCAUUAGCUUACUUUCCAGGGUUACCAUCUGAGUGAAGAAGCAAAGCUCUGUUUUUUGACUUACUUCUAUUCAUGUGUGAGUUCAAUACCCGGCCCCAUCUUAUGCUUCUGGAACAACACUGGAAACCUAACUCCCGAAAUCAGAACUUGUUGGGCCAGUAUUGGAUUCUGCGGAAGAUCUUUAUUCAGCUACAACUUCUACUUAAACACUAGCACCUUAACCUCUCUAUACUGAAGUACACCUCGCUUCAGCUGAAGACGGGGGUGAAGACAGGCUCACACUUGUCGGCUUGCCCUUACUUAUUCAGGCUACUUUCCC